rnacentral:rRNA from 1 species
UACGAAGGGGGGCUAGCGUUGCUCGGAAUGACUGGGCGUAAAGGGCGCGUAGGCGGAUGGCACAGUCAGAUGUGAAAUUCCCGGGCUUAACCUGGGGGCUGCAUUUGAUACGUGUUGUCUUGAGUUCGGAAGAGGGUCGUGGAAUUCCCAGUGUAGAGGUGAAAUUCGUAGAUAUUGGGAAGAACACCGGUGGCGAAGGCGGCGACCUGGUCCGACACUGACGCUGAGGUGCGAAAGCGUGGGGAGCAAACAGG